GAAAAGAAAAAAAAAGGCUAUGCUAAAUAGAUUUUCUGGUAGAUAUUUAUUUCAACAGGCCAGGGGAACCUGAUUGAAUAACACUGGUCCAUCUAGUCAUAUUGACAUGCUAAAAUAUUAGGCCUAUAAUUUUACAUUCUUCAUAACAGUAACAGUAGGCUUAGGAAAUUAUAGUCUAGGGGCUAACUAUUAUAUAACAUAAAAGGUACAUCUGCAUGGACCAUGAAGAGGAAUGAAAUAAGAACACAAGUACAUCAUACAGAGUAGAAACUACAACUAAUAAGCAGUGAGAACAAUAUAAACAGUGAAUCAGCAAUCAAGGGUACUGAAAUCUGAGGAAAAACA
rnacentral:misc_RNA from 1 species